rnacentral:rRNA from 1 species
UACAGAGGUCUCAAGCGUUGUUCGGAUUCAUUGGGCGUAAAGGGUGUGUAGGUGGCUCGCUAAGUCAGACGUGAAAUCCCUCAGCUUAACUGGGGAACUGCGUCUGAGACUGGUGAGCUUGAGUGCAGGAGAGGAACGCGGAAUUCCAGGUGUAGCGGUGAAAUGCGUAGAUAUCUGGAGGAACACCGGUGGCGAAGGCGGCGUUCUGGACUGCAACUGACACUGAUGAACGAAAGCCAGGGGAGCAAACGGG